UACUCCUACGGGAGGCAGCAGUGCGGAAUUUUAGAUAAUGGAGGGAACUCUGAUCUAGCGACGCCGCGUGCAGGAAGAAGGUCUUCGGAUUGUGAACUGCUGUGGUAAGGGAAAAAUGCUAUGUAGAGUGGAAAGCUACAUAGAGGGAUGGUACCUUACUAGAAAGCCCCGGCUAACUACGUGCCAGCAGCCGCGGUAAU
rnacentral:rRNA from 1 species